rnacentral:rRNA from 1 species
UACGUAGGGGGCAAGCGUUGUCCGGAAUCAUUGGGCGUAAAGAGCGCGUAGGCGGCCAGAUAAGUCCGGUGUGAAAGUCACAGGCUCAACCUGUGAAUGCCGCUGGAAACUGUCUGGCUAGAGUCCGGGAGGGGCGAGUGGAAUUCCUGGUGUAGCGGUGAAAUGCGCAGAUAUCAGGAGGAACACCAAUGGCGAAGGCAGCUCGCUGGAACGGUACUGACGCUGAGACGCGAAAGCGUGGGGGAGCGAACAGG